CUACGGGAGGCAGCAGUGGGGAAUCUUGCACAAUGGAGGAAACUCUGAUGCAGCGAUGCCGCGUGAGUGAAGAAGGCCCUUGGGUUGUAAAGCUCUUUCGUCGGGGAAGAAAAUGACUGUACCCGAAUAAGAAGGUCCGGCUAACUUCGUGCCAGCAGCCGCGGUAAUACGAAGGGACCUAGCGUAGUUCGGAAUUACUGGGCUUAAAGAGUUCGUAGGUGGUUGAAAAAGUUAGUGGUGAAAUCCCAGAGCUUAACUCUGGAACUGCCAUUAAAACUUUUCAGCUAGAGUAUGAUAGAGGAAAGCAGAAUUUCUAGUGUAGAGGUGAAAUUCGUAGAUAUUAGAAAGAAUACCAAUUGCGAAGGCAGCUCUCUGGAUCAUUACUGACACUGAGGAACGAAAGCAUGGGUAGCGAAGAGGAUUAGAUACCCUCGUAGUCCAUGCCGUAAACGAUGUGUGUUAGACGUUGGAAAUUUAUUUUCAGUGUCGCAGGGAAACCGAUAAACACACCGCCUGGGGAGUACGACCGCAAGGUUAAAACUCAAAGGAAUUGACGGA
rnacentral:rRNA from 1 species